AAAACAUUAAAAAUUAAUUGCGAAUAUCGUAUUUUAUAUAAUUCAUUUUUUGUUUAUGUGCGCCAUCCCGGCUUGAUCCAAAAAUAAAUAUUUUACGACGUUUUCUCGAAUUUUUUCCAUUUUAUUGGUAAAUUAAGGUGCCGUUAGGUUAUUGGCGCAAUUUAUAGUUUUGGUAGUUUUAACGAUAUUAAAACGAGUUUUAUGGAGGUAAAUAGCGGGUUAUGGAGGACGAUAGGACGAUAACGAUUUCGGGCCAAAAUGGUUGACACCGAUUAUUAACGGGAGCAUCAAUACGGAAAGUUUUUUUUUUUUUUGGAGUUUCCCGCGUCGCUAAACACGAAAGGCGACAUGGAAAAGCGGUUCUAAUCAUAUUACCAUGCUUAUAAUGGGCCGCAGCCAUCGAGUUUGAUAUACGACGGAGGAUAGACAACACUAUUGGAAUAGAACAAGUUGUUUAAUCAAAAUUAGAGAAGAAAAACUGUCAGGUGACGAAUAAUGACCAUGCCAAAAAAAAAAAAAAAAAUUGCGUAGCGGAAUGUAGCGUGCAGACUUGUACAGUGGCAGUUUGGAGAGCUAUCCGAAUCUCACUCUUUAAUACUUUUGUAUCGGAUGGGGUAGAGUGCGCUAAAUUUUAAGUCGAGCACAGCCAAGUUUUAUCACUGCACGGUAAAGAGGAAAGAUGGAAAAGAGAACAGGUUCAUAGUCUUCUAUAAUAGUCCCGGCGGUGCCGUACAAUUAACGUGAACGUUAGCUUGGCUUCUAUUAUCUCUAUAAACAUCAGCAGCCGAGAAUCCAGAUUAUCUUUCGUUUCUACAACCCGCAUUAAAACGUAGACUAAAUAAUGUCAUUGUCAAUUAAUCCCACUCUUUCCAUUUUAUCUUCCCAUUCUGCCACACAUAUUUGACUUCAUUAAACUUACUAACAGAUUUUUUUUUACUUUUUUUGCAUUUGCCGUUGGACGUCCAUUGGUAUUUAGUUUUUACUUCUUAAAAAAAAAUCGAUGGAAUUGGCUGGAAGCAUUCGUUCAGUUUCCUUAUUUUUGUAAACUGAAAACUGCAAAGUUUACUCUUCGUAUUUAUAUUAGUUGGGGUGAAGCUGAGGAAAAGUGUGGCGAUAAUAUCGUCUAGAAUAAAUAAGUGGAUUAUAUAAAAAGUUUAAAGAAUCACUUAUUCAAUCCUAUAUUUAUACUAUAUAUCCAGUUAUUCAGAGUCGUGUUCCCGAACCAAUUUUAUGUAUUCUCUAAAGGAGGUUUUUAGAUAAGGUCUGGAAGGUGUUUCCUAUAGUUAAAAUGUGUGUGGUUCUUCCAAAAUAACGAAUUUUUUUUACCUAUUCUAAAAAAAAUAAUCCAGAAUAAAUCCAAAAUAUACUCGGACAUUUUUUUAUGAUACUCCGUAAUUCGAUAUCAACGUAAUUCCCAACAUUAACGAAGUUCGAUUAGUUAAUGAAGAAAGGCUUAAAAAAAGUGGCAUUUGGUUGUUAAUUUAACGGAAGAUGUCCUGUUCAAACACGACUUUAGUUUGCUAUUUUUCCGUUUAAUUUCUGUUGUUGUUGUAGCUCGGGGACAGUGGAGUUUGGAAGUGUCCAACGUAAACAAUAUAAAUGCAGUUGCUGCGGAAUUGAAUGCCGGUUGUAAAGACGGAAUAUCUGCUUCCGAACUAAUCUCCAAUCCCAUAAGUCCGCUGGCAUACAUACAUCCGUAUCCCAAAAGAGAUGCCAAUGCCAUAUCCAAAGUAGCUAGAAAACCUUUGAUGUUAGGGAGUAGCUGUCGCUCGAUAUUUCCAAUGUUCUCUACAUAAUAAUUGUUUACUCGGGCUUAGGAGGAUUGGUGGAUAGUAAGAACAGUUUAUAAUCCUAAGUCGGAAUCAGGCCCCCCCCUUUUUUUUAUAUCACCCCGUAAGAAUUAAAAUAAGAAAAAAAAAAGAAACGGUAAAGCGGUAGGGAGCGCUUAAAAGCGGAGGACUUGUUGUAAACCAACAGGUAUUUAAAAGGUGGAAGAAUUGGGGGAGUGAAAAACGACAUUUUAAAAGUGUUGUCGCCCCGCAGUGAUCCGCUACAUUCCUGUUAAAAACAGGUUUCCCGUGAGCCAUGCCUAUCCCAUAAUUCCACUCUACAUCACGGUUACAGUCGGGGGAGAGUCGGGAGGUCAGCUCCCGGACAUAAAACUGGCCAAGUCCAGGGGUGGUUUCUGGCCGGCGACGGUAACCAUGGAAACGACGUGACAGGAGGAGGGUUUCUAAGAACAUCUAGAAACUCUAAUCCAAGAGAAAUGACCAGACGGUUUGUUUCCACCGCCACCGGCCAGUGAAUGGACAGGGGUGAUUUAGGCACUUUGCCUCGAAUCCGUAGCGCGGACCGAGAGAGCCCGGCUCCAGCGGUUGCCAUGACGACGGCACUCGUCCGAUUCCAACGGGGCGGAGAAGGGAAGCGGACAAGUAUGCUCCGAAUUAAAAUCUCUUUCUCCUACCUACAGCGUGGGUGUGUCGCCGGCGAGGUGUCGCUGCAACUUUUAAUCAAAGAGCAGCCUAUCUAGCCCUGGGCACCCGAUAAACUUUAUCCCCGCCCGCCCGGCCGUCCGACCCUCCCGCCCGUUUUAUUGGAGCGUUGUAAUCCGAAGAGUCGGCCGUCGCUUCGGAAAUAUUCGUUAGAACACAAUGCCACUGUCUGAAGAAGCAAUAAGAAGAAAAUUUCCCUCCCCUCAAGCCACUGCCGGCCUCCCACCGGCCGCCGGAGUGGUCGGGUCCGCUCGACCGUUUGGACGCAGGAAGUGGGGAGAUGACCACUCCACCGGGCCAGGAGGGGACGCCCACUGUAUAUUUUCCAGAUAAAAUGUCUCCUUCCUACAUCCACCAAUAUCGGCCCUCAUUUUCCUGCCAUCCCAACAAUAAGUAGAGAAGCGUUAAACAGCUUUCUUAAUAAAUCGUUAGUAACUGCCACGGUAUCCUUGCAUAUUUAUUCUUUGCCAACUUUUCCUCUCUUCUCAAUUAGCCUCAUCAUCCGGGGAGGACGAUUUUCUGCCAAAUGGAAAUAAAUUGUUUCCGUUUCGAUAGUUUGAUUCUUUUCAAACUCGAUGACCAAAAGUUUACGCUCUAAACAUUCAGCAACGUUCAUUACUUAGAAAUUUUUUAUCGAUCAAUCUCAACGAUUUUUAGACGCCAGUGCAAAGCCGAAUUUCUAGAAAUUCGUUCAAUUGUACGACUCCAAACGGAUAAAAAUCUCUCUCUCUCUCUUAUUAAUUUUUUUCUCAUUUAUUCGUCCAUGAAACUGCUUCCACUUCCUUCCUCGUUUAUUCUCAAAUUUUCCAAUUUUUCUAAUUUGCUUAUUCGUGUAAUGGCGGGCCACGUGUCGUUUAGUGUUUACUUCAGACGAUUUAGUU
rnacentral:lncRNA from 1 species